ACGGGAGGCAGCAGUCGGGAAUAUUGCGCAAUGGAGGAAACUCUGACGCAGUGACGCCGCGUAUAGGAAGAAGGUUUUCGGAUUGUAAACUAUUGUCAUUAGGGAAGAUAAAAGACUGUACCUAAAGAGGAAGCCCCGGCUAACUAUGUGCCAGCAGCCGCGGUAAUACAUAGGGGGCAAGCGUUAUCCGGAAUUAUUGGGUGUAAAGGGUGCGUAGACGGGAGUGCAAGUUAGUUGUGAAAUCCCUCGGCUUAACUGAGGAACUGCAACUAAAACUGUACUUCUUGAGUAUCGGAGAGGAAAGCGGAAUUCCUAGUGUAGCGGUGAAAUGCGUAGAUAUUAGGAGGAACACCAGUGGCGAAGGCGGCUUUCUGGACGAAAACUGACGUUGAGGCACGAAAGUGUGGGGAGCAAACAGGAUUAGAUACCCUGGUA
rnacentral:rRNA from 2 species